rnacentral:rRNA from 1 species
AGAUGGCGACCGGCGCACGGGUGAGUAACACGUAUCCAACCUGCCGAUAACUCGGGGAUAGCCUUUCGAAAGAAAGAUUAAUACCCGAUGGUAUAAUCAGACCGCAUGGUUUGAUUAUUAAAGAAUUUCGGUUAUCGAUGGGGAUGCGUUCCAUUAGGCAGUUGGUGAGGUAACGGCUCACCAAACCUUCGAUGGAUAGGGGUUUUGAGAGGAAGGUCCCCCACAUUGGAACUGAGACACGGUCCAA